rnacentral:rRNA from 1 species
CUCGGCUCUCGCAUCGAUGAAGAACGUAGCGAAAUGCGAUACUUGGUGUGAAUUGCANAAUCCCGUGGUUCCAUCUGAAUUGCAGAAUCCCGUGAACCAUCGAGUCUUUGAACGCAAGUUGCGCCCGAAGCCGUCAGGCCGAGGGCACGUCUGCCUGGGCGUCACGCAUCGCGUCGCCCCCCCCUUCCCGCGAC